rnacentral:rRNA from 1 species
GACGAACGCUGGCGGCGUGCUUAACACAUGCAAGUCGAACGGAAAGGCCCUGCGUUUGUGGGGUGCUCGAGUGGCGAACGGGUGAGUAACACGUGAGUAACCUGCCCUUGACUUUGGGAUAACUUCAGGAAACUGGGGCUAAUACCGGAUAGGAGCUCCUGCUGCAGGGUGGGGGUUGGAAAGUUUCGGCGGUUGGGGAUGGACUCGCGGCUUAUCAGCUUGUUGGUGGGGUAGUGGCUUACCAAGGCUUUGACGGGUAGCCGGCCUGAGAGGGUGACCGGCCACAUUGGGACUGAGAUACGGCCCAGACUCCUACGGGAGGCAGCAGUGGGGAAUAUUGCACAAUGGGCGGAAGCCUGAUGCAGCAACGCCGCGUGCGGGAUGACGGCCUUCGGGUUGUAAACCGCUUUCGCCUGUGACGAAGCGUGAGUGACGGUAAUGGGUAAAGAAGCACCGGCUAACUACGUG